GAUGAACGCUGGCGGCGUGCUUAACACAUGCAAGUCGAACGGAAAGGCCCUGAGUUUGUGGCGUGCUCGAUUGGCGAACGGGUGAGUAACACGUGAGGAACCUCCACUUGUCUUUCGGGUAAAUUUAGGAAACUGGGGCGAAUACCGGAUAGGAGCUCCUGCUGCGUGGGGGGGGAUGGAAAGAGUCGGCGGUUGUGGCGGGUCUGGCGGCUUAUCAGCUUGUUAGUGGGGUAGUGGCGGACCAAGGCUACGACGGGUAGCCGGCCUGGGAGGGUGACCGGCCACAUUGGGACUGAGGUACGGCGCAGACUCCUACGGGAGGCAGCAGUGGGGAGUAUUGCAGAGUGGCCGGAAGCCAGAUGUGGCGACGCCGCGUGCGGGAUGACGGCCUUCGGGUUGUAAACCGCUUUCGCCUGUGACGAAGAGUGCGUGACGGUAAUGGGUAAAGAAGCCCCGGCUAACUACGUG
rnacentral:rRNA from 1 species